rnacentral:rRNA from 2 species
AGCGGCGAACGGGUGAGUAACGCGUGAGGAACCUGCCUCUCACAACGGGAUAGCCACGGGAAACCGGGAUUAAUACCGUAUGACACCAUUUUCCGGCAUCUUAAAAUGGUUAAAGUUCUAGCGGUGAGAGAUGGCCUCGCGUCUGAUUAGUUAGUUGGUGGGGUAACGGCCUACCAAGACGACGAUCAGUAUCCGGCCUGAGAGGGUGAACGGUCACAUUGGAACUGAGACACGGUCCAAACUCCUACGGGAGGCAGCAGUGGGGAAUCUUGCACAAUGGGGGAAACCCUGAUGCAGCGACGCCGCGUGAGCGAUGAAGGUUUUCGAAUCGUAAAGCUCUGUCCUAUGGGAAGAUAAUGACGGUACUAUAGGAGGAAGCCCCGGCUAACUACGUGCCAGCCGCCGCGGUAA